GCCAACUCAGGUUUCAUAAUCUCAGUAUCUCAGAUAUCGAUCUACUAACACAUUCAGUUAGUUAAAUAGUAGCAAUUAGCAAACAGCCUUCACUUGUAACAGCACUCUGAUAGUAUUUAUCAGGUGUGUACAAAUAACAAAACAAAAAAAAAUCUGCAAUUGUCUAGCUACAUGCAUGUAAUCUCUUUGUUUGAAUGCUGGGAAUUCAAGCAAUAAAUUGCUAUGUAAACCAGAGUCACAGGUCACAUAUACAGUGACAAUGAUAUUGCCUAUGUGGGAGAAAGUGUUCCAGCACACAUCCAGCUGGUCCAGAGUGCACUGCACAUGAGGGUGAUUGUUAAGGGAAAAGACUUGAGCAACACUGGAGAGAGAGGGGGGGAAAAAACUAGGUGUCUGAACUGACAUAAACAUUAACUUUUUAGAUUCUUUAGUUACAGGAAGCACACAGAGAUGUGCAGGGGAAGGAACAUACUGUGAGAAGCAUACAGAAGUUGCCAGCACUUCAAGAUCCCAGAACAGAAUUGGAUUUUUCUUGAGAAGAAAAAUGUGCCAGGGUACAGUUAGGGGUUUUGUAUAACACUGGCCAGUGGAAAGAGACUUCUAAAACAUCUAUCAAGAGCUUUUCAGCUUAUACGUAGUAUUUGCUACGAUGAUUAUGAUCCAGUGGUUUAGAAAGUCUAAGGAUUGCCUUUCACAUCUACGAGAGCAAACUCUGAAUCUUGGACAGUGGUGAAGCAAUAGCCUACAGCUGAAGAUAUUUGCGUAAACUAGGGUUAGGGGUGGUAAUCCAGAGCUUUGGAAAAACAUGACUGAGAUCCCAGGGUUCUGUCACUUUUCCAAACAUUUGUUGUGACCUGUUGACCUUAAGAUGAGAGGAGCAGUGGAAAGGCGAGAAUAACACGCACACAUAAAAAAAGGCUUUGGUGGCGUAGUUUUGGACUUCAGCAUAUGACAAUUUUAUUUUACUGCACAUCUUAGUGGAGUAGCACUUUUUUAGUUCAUACUUUAGAAUUAUCACAAACUUCUUCAUUUUCUCUUUCUGUGGCCCAAUCUUCCAGAAAUAUGCAGGUGAUUUUGCAAGAAACAACACAAUUUCAGCGUAGCAGAAGGGUACGAAACGCCGACUAUAUUUAUGAACUCAUUGCCUUUGCAGUUAAGGUUCUUCAAUUAUUUAGUUUUCAGUUCUCAUAAAAUUUAAAGGAUUAUGACUAACUUCCUGAACCAUGACGACUGGUGACUCAUUGCAACUUACAAAGAAACCAGUUAAAUGUAACUUUGUAGAAAAAGAUAUUUUCAUUACAAUGCUGUAUAAGAGCUUUCAAGUGAGAUGCCAGCUAUUCAAAAUGUUUACAACAGACAUGAAGACAGUUCUAAAUAAAUAACACAACGGAUGCUCUGCAAACUAUAUAAGGCAAUGUUUUGCAGCUAUACUCUCAACACAUCAGUUCAUGUAAUAGAGAAUCUACAAAAGGACAUUUAUUUCCUAAUGAUAAGGAGAUAAGUAAUGAAGAACCAUCAAAUCCUAGCCCUGAGGUUCUACUCACUAAGUCACUCCUUAGAAAAUGGAGAAACAUUCAUUUGAUUCCUCUAAAUCAAACAGAAGAGAUUCUAAUGCAGCUCCGAGAUUGUAAUAUUUAUGUCUUGUAGUGCCUCAUAAAGU
rnacentral:lncRNA from 7 species